CUGACUCAAAAGCAAACAACACACAAGCUGAAACCGAAGGAAAUUCUACUGACGUCCUGCCGGUAGAAUAUCAGGAUUAUCUGAAUACAAAGGAGACAUAUUCAAAAACGACUCGAAAGAACAUUUAAUCUAUUUAAUACACUUAACUAAGGGUGUAUUCCGUAACCCUAUAUAUUAUAGUCAAUUUUCUUAAAAACCCAAAAUCUAACGGUUUUCCCGAAAUCUAAUCCAUAAUAAAAACAACUAAUAAAAUUGGUAAUAAUUCACUAAAUAACCCUUAAUUAUUCAUCAAACUAAUCUGCAAAAGCUAAUAUUACAGCUAGGGACUAAUCUGGAAUUUUUCCAUAUUUUUAGGGCCAAAUUGUAACUUUUCAAAUGGAGGACCAAACUGAAAUUUGUCAUAAAUCCAUGAAUAUACUGAAAUUCUGACCUUAAUUAAUCCUCAAUUCUGUCCAGGAUGUAUCAUUAUGCUUCAGGGAUCAUUCUGGAAUUUUACUAAAUUUUUAGGGUCAAAUCGUACUUUUUGUCAAAUUGAAGGACUAAAUUGAAAGUGUUAAAUUAUCUUAUCUAUACAGUAAUUAUGUCCAUAAUUUAAAUGCUAUUCUGUUCAGAAUCUCGGAAUAUGCUCCAGGGACCAAUUUGUAAUUUUCCAAAGUUCGGGGACUAAACUGUAAUUUUCGGAAAUUGAGGGACCAAAUUGAAUUUUCGUCAUCUUCAACCUCCAGUCCAGAUUUUAACAGAAACCCCACUGUUCUCCCCUGAUUUCUAACUCAAUUUUCACCAUUUACACAAUUCUAUAACUCAAAAUCAUCAUAAUCUUCCAUAAUCAACUAAAUCAUCAAUUAAACACAACAAUCAACCCCUAACCUUCAAUUUAAUUCAUCAAUUUAAAUCAAACACAAAUUCUCAAAACCCUAACAUUCAUAAAAACUGAAAUUAAAGCUUAAUUAACAUAUUAUACACAUUAAACAACCUAAAUCUUACCUUUUUCACUUAUUUCCUCCAAAACUCUUCCUUUUUCCCUUAUUUUCCCUCUUUUCUCUUCUUCUUCUUUCCUUCUUCUCACUCUCCGAUUCUCUUCUCUCAAAUCAGAUUUCUAUUUUUUUUUUUUUUACUUCCUAUUUAUAUUUAUCAAUAUUUAUCAAUUACUACUAUACCCCUUAUUUAAUUUAUUCCUACAUCUAAGCCUCAAGGGCUUUCUAGUUUUCCUAUCUAUUAAUUCAAAACAUUACAAUCUCCCCACCUUAUAAAAGUUUCGUCCUCGAAACUUAAUAGAAAAGAUUGAGUACUUACCGAGAUUAUCGAAAAGAUGAGGAUACUCCUCACGCAUCUUAUCCUCGAGCUCCCAUGUCGCUUCCUCACGUGAAUGGCCUUUCCAUUUCACUUUCACUGAAGCUAUGUCCUUCGACCUAAGCUUCCUCACUUGUCGGUCGACUAUAGCUUCCGGUUGCACCUCAUAAACCAUAUCAUCCCUCAAGUCAAUAGGAUGAACCUCUAACACAUGCGAUGGAUCUGACAUAUAUUUCCUUAACAUGGAAACAUGAAAUACCGGAUGAAUAGCAGACAAGUUUGGUGGUAAUGCUAACCGAUAAGCAACUGCCCCAACUCUCUCCAGAAUCUCAUACGGUCCAAUGAAUCGAGGACUCAACUUGCCUUUCUUCCCAAACCUGAAUACUCCUUUUGUAGGUGAUACUUUUAAGAACACACAAUCACCCACUGAAAACUCUAAGUCACGCCUUCUUCUAUCUGCGUAACUUUUAUGUCUACUCUGAGCUGUUUGAAGCUUCUUUCUAAUUACCUCAAUCUUCUCUGAGGUAAUCUGAAUCAACUCCGGUCCCAUUAGCCUCUUCUCACCAACCUCAAACCAACAAACCGGUGAUCUACACUUCCGACCAUACAAAGCCUCAUAAGGUGCCAUCUCUAUGCUAGCCUGAUAACUGUUGUUGUAAGCAAAUUCCACUAAUGGUAGGAACUUACUCCAACCAACUCCAAAAUCCAUAACACAAGCCCUUAACAUAUCCUCCAAGGUCUGAAUAGUCCUCUCAGACUGACCAUCUGUCUGAGGGUGAAAAGCUGUACUCAACUGCACCUUAGUACCCAUAGCUUCUUGAAAUUUCACCCAAAACCGCGAUGUAAACUGUGGACCUCUAUCAGACACUAUCGAGAUUGGCACUCCAUGCAACCGUACAAUCUCACUAAUAAACAAUUCCGCCAACUUUGCAUAUCCAUAAGUAAUCUUAACUGGCAGAAAAUGGGCUGAUUUGGUCAACCUGUCAACAAUCACCCAUAUCGAAUCAUAACCCUCCUGACUCCUAGGCAAUCCUGUCACAAAGUCCAUUGUGAUCCUUUCCCACUUCCAUUCUGGAAUCAACAAUGGUUGUAACAAUCCAGGAGGUUUCUGGUGUUCACCCUUUACCCUCUGACAGGUCAAACACCUAGAAACAAAAUCUGCUACAUCAGCCUUCAUCCUAUUCCACCAAUAACACACCUUAAGGUCUUUAUACAUCUUGGUGGAACCUGGAUGCAUUGUGUAAACUGUCUGAUGUGCCUCUAUCAUCAAUUCUCUCCUCAGAUCAUCAACAUCAGGUACACAAAGCCUAUCCCUAUAUCUCAGCACAUCAUCAUCACCAAUCACAAAACUUGCAGCCUUACCCUGCUCAACCUCAUUUCUAAUCCUGAGUAGUGAAUCAUCUUUCUUCUGAGCUGCUUUUAUCUUAUCAAACAAAUCUGACUUAACCUGAAAAUGAGCAAUCAUUGCUCCAGCUUCACUAAGAUCAAAUCUGACUCCUUCAUCCACUAACUCAUGCAGCUCCCUAAUCAGAGGUCUUCGUACCUCCUGAAUAUGAGCUAAGCUCCCUGAUGAUUUUCUACUCAAAGCAUCGGCAACUACAUUUGCCCUACCCGGGUGGUACUGUAUGGUACAAUCAUAAUCCUUCAGUAGUUCCAUCCAUCUCCUCUGCCUCAGGUUUAGAUCUUCUGCUGAAAGAUGUAUUUCAAACUCUUGUGAUCUGUAAAGAUCUCACAAGUUUCACCAUACAAGUAGUGCCUCCAAAUCUUCAAAGCAAAAAUUACAGCCGCCAUCUCUAAAUCAUGUGUAGGAUAGUUCUGUUCAUGCUUCUUCAGCUGCCGUGAAGCAUAGGCAAUAACCUUGCCAUGCUGCAUUAGAACACAUCCUAACCCCACUCUCGAAGCAUCACAAUACACUGUGUAACCACCAGAACCUGAUGGUACUGCUAGAAUAGGCGCUGUAGUCAAUCUCUCCUUCAACUCUAAGAAACUUUUCUCACAAGCUUCAGACCACUGAAACUUAACAUUUUUCUGCGUUAACUUAGUCAAUGGUGCAGAAAUUCGAGAAAAGUUCUCCACAAACCUCCGAUAGUAGCCGGCCAAACCUAAGAAACUUCUAAUCUCUGUCGCCGAAGUAGGCCUAAGCCACUGCUUAACUGCUUCAAUCUUUUGAGGAUCAACCUCAAUCCCAUUCCUUGACACUACAUGCCCAAGAAAUGCUACACUCUCCAACCAAAACUCACUCUUUGAGAACUUGCCAUACAACUGAUGAUCUCGCAGAGUUUGAAGCACCAUUCUCAAAUGCUGCUCAUGCUCCUCUCUAGACCUCGAAUACACCAAAAUAUCAUCAAUAAAAACUAUCACAAAUCGAUCAAUAAAUUGGCCAAACACUCUAUUCAUCAAGUCCAUAAAAGCUGCUGGUGCAUUCGUCAACCCAAAAGACAUCACUAAAAACUCAUAAUGACCAUACCGAGUUCUAAAAGCUGUCUUUGAAAUGUCUCCUCCCUAAUCCUCAACUGAUGAUACCCAGAUCGAAGAUCGAUCUUAGAAAAGAAUUGAGCUCCCUGUAACUGAUCAAACAAAUCAUCUAUACGAGGGAGUGGGUAUCUAUUUCGAACUGUCACCCGAUUCAAUUGCCUAUAAUCUAUACACAACCUCAAUGACCCAUCUUUCUUCUUCACAAACAACACCGGAGCUCCCCAAGGGGACACACUUGGUCGGAUGAACUUUUUAUCCAAUAAAUCCUGCAGCUGCUCCUUUAACUCCUCAAUUCUGCUGGCGCCAUUCUAUAUGGUGCCAUUGAUAUUGGUUCAGUGCCCGGAACCAAAUCAAUACAAAACUCAAUCUCCCUAUACGGAGGCAAUCCAGGUAAGUCAUCAGGAAAGACAUCGAUAAACUCUCUUACUAUAGGGACUUCCUCUAACUGGGGAACUUCUUUCUCUACAUCCACUAUAUAUGCUAGGUAGCACUGUACCCCUUUUCGGGCCAUUUUCCUCGAGAUAGCCGACAACAUAAUUGAUGGAGACCCAAUCUUAUCUCCUUGAAAUACCAACCCAACUUCUUGAUCUAGAUCAAACAUUAUUUUCUUACCCCAACAAUUUACCGAAGCCCUAUGCUUAGCCAACCAAUCCAUUCCCAAAAUCACAUCAAAAUCAACCAUAUCUAAGACAUUUAAGUCUCCCAUAAAGAUCUUAUCUCCAAUCUCUAUUUCACAAUCCAGAUACACAUACUUUACUAAUAUUAACUCAUCUAAGGGAGUGGAGACUGAAAUGGGGGAUUUUAACAAGGUUGGUUGUUUAUCUAACCUCAUGGCAAAAUAUGGGGACACAAACGAAUGAGUUGCACCCGUAUCAAACAAAACUUUUGCUUCAAAAGAGCAAACAGGAAGAAUACCUGAAACAACUGUGUUGGAUGCCUGAGCAUCCUGCUGAGUCAAGGCAAAAACUCUAGCAUGCCCCUGACCCUGCUGUAUCUGACCUCUAUCACCUGCACCCCGACCUCUUUGACCACGGCCACCAAAACCUCUACCCCCAUGAGCCACAGACUGGCUCGUCGAUGGUGCCUGAAUAGGCUGCUGGACUGAAGCAGAUAACCCCGAAGUGGACAACUGUCUCCUCGGGCACUCUCUAAUCUUAUGACCUAUCUGGCCACAACUAAAACAAGCCCCGGUCCUUCUAUAGCACUCUGCACUGUUAUGACCUCCUCCACAGUGCUGACACAAAGAAUUAUCCCCAUAUGAAACAAAUGAACUACGAGGUGCAGUCUGAACUAAACUCUGGGACCACUACUGCCACUCUGACUGCCUGAGCCACUAACUGAUGGUCUCUGUCUAAACCUCCUCUGAACCCAUGAGCCCUGACGGCCACUUCGUCCCCUAAACGGACCUGCACUUAAUCCCUGUUGCCUAAAAGACUGACCCUCUUCUCUAGGCCUCUUAGACUGGCCAACAGUCAUGUCCUCUAUUUCAC
rnacentral:lncRNA from 1 species